rnacentral:rRNA from 1 species
GGCACUUCAAGAAAUCGAGAGGAGUUGGCGAUAGUUCUCGCGGAUGAUCAACCUAAUGCCAAUCGGGAAGAUGAUGGUCAUACCCCUACAGAAGAUGAUGUUGACAUCAACAUGGAUGAUACCAAUGUGAGUGAUCAUGAGCCCAUAUUUAAUUCAUCCGCGGCAGAAUCUGCUAGUGUUGAUGAGGAAUUGGUUAUUACUGUGGAUAUUUAUGAUCCAAGGAAUUGGGGUCUUCUUGAUAACAAAGCGAGGGACAUAUUAGUGGAAAACGGGCCUAAAAGGGAAGAAGAAAACACUAAAUACAUGAAACUUUAA